rnacentral:misc_RNA from 1 species
GAUGGAGAACGUAGCAAAAUGCGAUACUUGGUGUGAAUUGCAGAAUCCCGUGAACCAUCGAGUUUUUGAACGCAAGUUGCGCCCGAAGCCUUUUGGCCGAGGGCACGUCUGCCUGGGCGUCACGCAUCGCGUCGCCCCCCACAAUUCUCCGUAAAGGGAACGUGUGUUUUGGGGGCGGAUAUUGGUCUCCCGUGCUCAUGGCGUGGUUGGCCGAAAUAGGAGUCCUUUCGAUGGACGCACGAACUAGUGGUGGUCGUAAAAACCCUCGUCUUUUGUUUCGUGCUGUUGCUCGCAAGGUAAACUCUUUAAAAACCCCAAUGUGUCGUCUCUUGACGACGCUUCGACCGCGACCCCAGGUCAGGCGGGACUACCCGCUGAGUUUAAGCAUAUCAAUAAGCGGAGGA